UCAUUCUGAGUGGAAAAUACUUGGGGUUAGUUAUUAUACUUUUCUCAUAUGUGAAGACGCAUGCAUAAUCAGUGUAACUAAAGCUGUGAUCAAUAAAAGGAAAUAUGAAGGAACGUAUAAAAUCGUACAAUUAAGAACGACGUCUAUGCUAUGUAAAUCAGAUGUCUAAUAGACGUAACAUUCAAAUAUUAAACGUCUGUAAUACGUCUCCCGGAGAUCGCUGGAACAUCGGAAAAGACGUCUAUGCGACGUCUUCCAGAUGAGCAAACGCCCUAAAAACGACGUCUCCCAGAUGCAAAAGCAUACAUCGCACAGACGUCCCCGCGACGUACCUGUGCUAUCCCAGUCAGCACAUGUACGUCUGGCCGACGUCGGCCCAAUAUCGAAACGUCGGCCUCUAUACCUAAAACAUCUAUAAAACAUCGGCCUGGCGGAGGCCGAUAUAAUUUGGUCAGUGCUCUGUUCUCCAGCUCAUCAAUCGUCGGCCCUGAGUUGGUUCACGACCGCAGGGCCGAUGCCGCGCUUCUCUGUGUGCGCGUGCCCAGUAUUCGUCUCUUUUAGCCACCCAGAGAGAGAGAAGAGGAUAAUCCCAGCGACAUCUGUGGCUCUGAGGCUUUCAGAAAUAAUCCGGUGAAAUAAUAUGAUGUUUGUUUGUGUAAAUGCUGUGUGUGCGUUGAGUCCUGCGCGAGCGGGGAGCAGAGUUGCCAUGGAAACGGGGCAUCAACACAAAAACCGUUACUGGCAAGCAGUAAUCUCCGUAUCUCGCUGCAGUUUACACUGUUUUGGAAACGGUUUAGUGUCUUCGGAAAAGUCCGUUAUCAUUUUAGCAGUUUUCAGAUGUUUGUGUAAAUGCUGUGUGCGCGUUGAGUCCUGCGCGAGCGGGGAGCAGAGUUGCCAUGGAAACGGGGCGUCAACACAAAAACCGUUACUGGCAAGCAGUAAUCUCCGUCUCUCGCUGCAGUUUACACUGUUUUGGAAACGGUUUAGUUUCUUCGGAAAAGUCCGUUAGCAUUUUACCAGCUUUCAGGUAGGCUAACUCUAUAGAUUGAGCUCUUGUUGAUGAAACUCUGGGCUUUUAAUCAAAUCUUCGUGUGUGUAUGAGAUAUUUUGAUGGCACUUUGAAUGUUUUGCUGGUGAUUUGUCAGUAUGUUAUUGGAAAAGGCUGA